rnacentral:lncRNA from 1 species
GCCCUUUUUGGGAAAAACAAAACUCCCACUAUCUGUAUGGGAUGAUUAGGAAGAUAUAUAUGUUAACACUGAAGAAGGAAAAUGUAGGUUUUUUUGUUUGUUUGUUUGUUUGCUUGUUUGUUUGUUUUUCUCCUAGAAUUCAGGGAGCUUCAAUUCUGCUGAUAUGUCCUUGGCAGAUGAGCUAAUCUGGAAGACUACUUAAAACUAUUUUUUUUUUCUCUUUUAACACGGCAAGUUCAAUUAGGCGAGGACUGUUUUCGAUUCUCGCACCAGCUGGCCACCGCACCGCGACUGCACCCCCAGCGCUUCGGUAUCUUCGCCUGCCUCCAAGACGAGCCCCAGUCCUCGGGUCUACCCAGCAUUUCCAUCCUCUGAAGGGGCACGGCUCUGCGCUUCCAACGGAGCCUUGCGGACCCGGUCCCGCGCCGUGCCGUGCCUUACUCCCAGGUAAAGGCGGCGGCCGGGCAAGGCAGGGGGGCAGCAGGAGGGGAGCGGAGGCGCGCGGGGCGCACUUUGGGAAGGCAGCGUUCGGGCCAAGCCCCGCCGAGGGGACGGGGCGGCCGCAGCGCCCCCCCGCUCCGCAGCUCGGCCGGGGCUGCGGGAAGUUUUCGGGGCGCUUUCCCCGUUCCCUCUCCGAAGGGGCGAGGUUGGGCUGGGGGAAAGGGGAAAUCGGUUUGAGGGACGGGGGCGCGGCGGAUCCUCGGGAAAAGCAGCUCCGGGCGCGUAGGGUGAGCGCUGACAAAAGGCAUUUGGCAAGUUUCUCUCCCCCCCCCCCCCCCUUUUUUUUUUUUUUUUUUUUUCCUUUCCUCAUUUUUAAAUCGUCCAAUUGUUAGCAAAAAACCCAAGCAUAAAGUAAAAACCAAGGGAAAAAAAAAAAAAAAAAAAAAAAAGAAAAAGAAAAGAAAAAGAAAAAGAAACACCAGCCCCUUCCCCGUCCGCCCCACCUAGCAGUUACGACCGUUCAGCAGCUGUUAAUAUUUGGGGGAAAACCACGGGGAAAAGAAAGGAAACGACACGGCAGGGCAGGGCAGGGCAGGGCAGGGAGCCCUCGCGGUGCUGAAGAAAUUGACUUCGGGCACAGAAGUGUCCUAGGUGCCACCGCGCCGCCCCAACCAAGUUUCCUCGGGGCAACGGCAGCACCCGUGGGCGCGACCGGCUCCGGGACGGGACGGGACGGGACAGCACCCCAUUGCUCCACACCCCGGUGGCUGCGGGGCUGGGACAGGGGGCGAGCACAGGGGGGACCCCCGAGCGCCUUCACCCGGUCCCGGUCC